UACGUAGGGUGCGAGCGUUGUCCGGAAUUAUUGGGCGUAAAGAGCUCGUAGGCGGUGUGUCACGUCGGCCGUGAAAACCUGCAGCUUAACUGUGGGCGUGCGGUCGAUACGGGCAUCACUGGAGUUCGGGCAGGGGAGACUGGAAUUCCUGGUGUAGCGGUGAAAUGCGCAGAUAUCAGGAGGAACACCGGUGGCGAAGGCGGGGUCUCU
rnacentral:rRNA from 1 species